UUCUAUCUCUCGCAGCCCCAUGUCUAUCAUCGCCGCCGUAGAUACUCUCAUCGCCGCCCUUUCUGCUCUUCAUCGUAGGUUUCACUGUUCUCUUUCGCUCUUUCUCUCCCUCUACAUCUCUCUCUCUCCCUCUCUCUCUGUAUGUGUGUUAGUCGCAAUUUGGAUGUGGAUUCUUCAACUGUUAAUUGAUUUUUGUCUUCAAUUUCUGGGUUUAUGUUAAUUUUUUGAUUACUAUGAUUUAGGAUUUUGAGUUUAUGUGUUCAAUUUAUGUAUUCUUCAUUUUAGGGUUUGAUUCAUGGGUUCUUUCUGGUUAAUCUUUUUAGUUAGAUUUUUGAGUUCAAUUGAAUUUAGUACCACCAUACAGAACACAUGAACCUCAACUCUCCCAUUACAUAUUAAACAUCACUUGUUCUGUGAGAUGUUGUCUUCAAUUUCUCUUAAAUUAUUUUAUUUUAAGAGUUAAGACUAAGAUAUUUGCUAAUCUAAAAAUGCAGAAUGUAAAAUUUUUAUACUUGAACUGUUGAGUAUAAUUUAGGUCUUACUUUCAGAGUGAAAUUUUGACUAAGAUAUACAAGACAUGUAUUAGAUGGUAUACAAUAAGAAUGAUUAUGACAAAAAUGCAGAAUGUGAAAACAAAGUCCAUGUAGACCCUUGAAACCUCCAAUUUAAAAAUGACAUACAACUAUAAAGAAAAGGGUUGGAGCAUACAUGUUCACUUAAAGCCAAGGGACUUGNNNNNNNNNNNNNNNNNNNNNNNNNNNNNNNNNNNNNNNNNNNNNNNNNNNNNNNNNNNNNNNNNNNNNNNNCAAGAGUGAUUGUUUAUACUUCAGUUACCAUGUCAUUCAAAAUAGUUUUACAAUUUUAAUUUCGGCUUUGGCUCAACAAUCAACAUGUAUAUGAUUUUGUUGUUGUGCUGGAUAUUCCACUUGAUUUUAGUAGAGCAAAUAUAAUUGAGUCAUAGUAACUUAUCAAUGAUGUGUUAUUAUGGUUGUGUUCACUUGAAUUUUAAUGGAUUACAUUUAGCCCUAUUUUUUGGGUAUAUGUUGUCUACAAGAAAUUAUGUUUAGUAUGUGUAUCUAAUGCUAUAUUAUGGUUAUAUUUCUUUUAUUAGUUUCUUGGCUCUGUUCUAAGUUAGUUUCUAUUGAUUAUUAAAUAAAAAUGUGUAUGAAACGAGGCUUGUGAACUUGAAUUAGUUUACAUGAUUUAUGUUUGAAAUUACAUAGAAUUAUAUCCAUAUAUGUUUGAAAUUGCAUCUUAUUGUAAUUUUUCUGAUACUUUCAGCUUUGAACCCAAAUCUACAGUGAGGGGUGCUAUUACGAAAAUCUUCAAAGAAAAUUUUCAAGGUGCAUGGUCAUGUUGGAGUGCUGUUGAUUCGACCACACAAGAUUUUUGAUUUGAAGACUUUAAGGUCAUUUUAUUAAGUAAUUGAGGUGUGCUGGUUGUGUUUCAUUAUGGGAUCCAAUUGAUAAUCUUGUUUAUUUUUUCAUUGAGGUUAUGCUUGUCAUAUUACAUAUUGUGUUUAUAUGCUAUUAAAUUUAUCGUUGUUUCUAUUGGAGUGUAGAUUUGUAUAUAUGCUAUUAAAAUUGUAUACAGGCUAUGCUUAUCAUAUGACAGAUUGUGUUUACAACUUUAACACUACUAUUUGUAUUGUUUGUUUGUAGGCCAAAUACAAAUGGCUUGAAAAGGAUGAAGCUAGCAUUAAAAAAGCUUUAAUAGUAGGGGAACAUUGGCCCUGGAAAAUGCUUUGUUCAAGGUUCGUAGCGGUAAAGAUAAAGGUGAAUGGAUUGAUGAAGAUAAGUUAAAAGAAUUAAGGGAUCAAUGGAACGGUGAAACUUGGCAAAACAGAAAAUGGUUAGUAGUAAAUCUGCUUUAGUGAAUUUCAAUUUAAACAUAUUAUACUAAAUUUAUGUU
rnacentral:lncRNA from 1 species